UCGUCUUCAAGUGUCUUUGGUGUAUCAUAGUGAAAUAAUGUAACAUAUGGUUGUAUUCCUGCAUGACAAAUUGACAGAAUCGUUAUCUUUCCCUUAUAAAAAAGGAAAAAACGCACUGCUUUGAUAUAUGUUAAACGCAUAAAAAAGGUCCACACAAUCAAACAAAAUUAGCAGCAUUUAAGAUGAAAAAUUGGGUUGAUAGAAUCACACAAUGCAUAAUAAAGCAAUCGAUAAUAAAAAAAAAAAGCAAUCAAUUAUUAGUAAAAAGCAUACGCAUAUGCAUAAAGUAUAUAUAGCUCAAUGAAAAGUGAGCUUAAUUUUUGUAUUGCGUCUGUAGUUUCUAAAAUUUUAUUUGUAUCCGAGUAUCAUGAAAUGAGUAGAAUAAUGUGAACGCUUUCAACAUAUAUAAAAUCUCAUGCCACACUAAUAUAAUGAGAUUUACUCUAGUUCAUGAAAAAAGAGUGAGAGGUUGUACACAUGAGCUAAUUAACAAUUAAUAUAAGUUGCAAGAUAUAUUAGCAGUAUAAAAAAGUCUAUCACAGUCUUGAUAAAAAAUUUAUAAAAGUUUGUUACUUAUUUCAUGGAGUCUAUAAAAGUCAUUUUAAAAAAAUCUUUAAAGUAUGUGAAAGUCAUUAAAAUCCCACAAAUUCUACAAAAGUCUGUCACUUAAAAAAAGUCUUUAAAAAUCUUAAUUGAAUGCACCCCCCUUAGAGAGAGACUAGAGAGAAAUUUUGAAAAUCCAUUCAUUUGGUGGCUAGUACCGCAGCACCCUUUUAUUGCAGAAUCGUGAGACGGUUCGCGGACGUUCGUGUGGAUACCGAAGAGACGUAGUUCAUUCGGAUUGCGUUGGAGAUUCGAACGCAUCAAUUCCAACUUCAUAAUCGGUAUAAUCUCUUACACACUGAAUUAAUUUCUGUUUCGCAUGGAUCUUGUUUGGGUUUCGGAUUUUGUUUUGUUCAAUUUAUUUUUCGUUGUGCAUUGCUUUGAUGUGCCGAAAACCCUACAGUUAUCUCAUCGAAUAUAUUACGAUUCAUUUCUAUAUUAUGAUCGUUUGGUUUUACGAUCUCAUAUCCCUGUAUUUUUAGUCUUUUAGACUAUAUCUAUUCACCACUAUUGUUCACCUUUAUUAUCAGAGUUAGGGAACUCCGUAUCUUUAAACUUACCGAGAUUCGUCUUUGAAUCAUACCGACACACUAACUCUAUGUGAGUUAGAUCUUAUCUUAAUCACCACGGUUAUUAGUCUAAGGUAACUCUACCCUAGAUUUAUAACUUACAGCUUUAAUACCAAAUGUAGCGUCUCCAAAUUCUGGUCCUAAAUCACCACGAAUCUGGUACACUAGUUCUAACUAUUGCGGAAGAUAUAAACAUAAAUUAUUUAUACAUUAAACAUUACACACUAUCCCCAAAGUCGAGAACCUUCACUUAAAACCUGAAUCAAUAUCCUAUCUAACAUACAAUGUUAUUAUUAUACAAUACUGUUACAAAUUUAGUUGCACACAUAGUCCCAAGCUGAACUUGGCUUUGACUUUUCCUUGUAUCCGACGUAUUCGCCUUAAUCUGCAAUGUUUAUCAUGAUAUAGCAAGGGUGAGCAACAAGUUUGCCCAACAAGUUUAAGUUCAAUAAAUUAAGAAUAUAUCAUAAUGGAAAGAUUUUGAAUAAUAGCUAGCUCACAUUCAACAAUAUAAUUGUGAACUAGCAUGGAUAAAUUUUCAUAGCUGAACGAACAUUGAAUAUGAACAUAUCAAUUAUAUCUAGUGUAAUGCCCCCAAAAUCGGGACAAUUUCUCUCCCCGAUCUUGUGCGUUAAUAUUAUCUCGUUCUAGCUUUAAAACAUUAUUUAAUGUUAAAAUAGCUAAAAAUGCGGAAUAAUUUUUUUUUUCUUUCCAUUCAUUCAUCCCCUGAAUCGCAACCUUUACAAUUCUUCUUUAUACUAGAAUCAUAUUUAUUAUAUGAUUUGUAUAAUCUGAGUAAAUGUAUUAAAACUUAAGUCUUAAUACAUAAUAUCUUUUCUAUCGAUAAUUCACUUAUUUCAGAAUCAUAUUUGUUCUCAUUUCAGAGUAAACAUUCUUUAUACAUUCAACAUUUCAAACUAUACAUAACUGUCAAUUACAUUUGACAAAACUAUCAAUCAUAGAUUUAUACCAUUUCUAAUUCAAGGAAAUGUAUUCAUUUUGCACAUCGAUCAAUCUUCAUCAUCCGUAUAGCAAAUAAUAUCGCUUAAUAUCAUUAACCUGCAAAAAGUUUGUAUUUGCAAGAUUGAGCUUGACAGCCCAGCAAAUUUAACAGUCUAUCAUGUUUCACAUAGCACACAAUUCCAUAUGCACUAUAUUUCCUUUACUAUGCAUAUCCUACAUGCAUCAAUAAUUCUGUGCAAUGCAUAAAUUCAUUUGUUGAAUUACCUCGUCCGAUCCUCAAUCGCCUUUGUAUGAUCUAUAUAUAGCACAUUGAAUUAUAAUAUGCUUCAUAAUCUUAUUAGAAACUUAACACAUAACUAAAUUGAUUUAUAAUCUUUAGUUUGCAUAACGCGUCAUUAUCGACAUUCCACAUACCAACUUCAUAUUUUUCAGAUCUUGAGUUCUUAAGAUUCCAUCUUGUUUUAGAUUAACUAAUCAAUCUUUAAUCCGUUUCAGAAUGAAUUUCAUUACGUUGUUGCUGAUUCGCAUCAUUAAUAUCAUAUGUAUUACCUAUGUAAUAAAGCUUAUAGCUUAAUAUGUAACACGUUCUUUGGUUUAACCAAAACUUGAAUACAUCUAGAUUAACAAUUUGAUCUCUCAUUAUUAACCAUAUUAGGUUAAUUAGUUCCAUUCAAAGGUUAUUUAUAUCUCUAAUAUCUUGCGCAUGCUUAUGUAAUGUAAUUAAAGUCAUUACAUAGCUUAACGAUAAUAUAUUCUACAAAUAUGGUUUAAAUUUCCAUAUUUCAAAGGUUAAUUUCAUAAUCUUAACUUAGUAAUCAUGUUAGGUUAUUAGCAUAAUUUAUAGAUUAACUUAUGUAUUAAAACAUGUUUUAUUAUUAAUUUUUAACUAAUUAAACACCCAGGGGCAAAACUGUAAUAAAUCAGUAAUUAAACACUCAAUGGCAAAACUGUAAUAAAGCAGAAAUAACAAUCUGGAACAUGGGGCUGCCCAGAUUUCCAGAUUGUUUUGUGAUUUCCUGGCUACUUUGUGAUUUUAUAUCUCACAAUCUACUAAUCCGAUUGCUUCCAAAUUUUGAUAUGUUAUACUUGGUACUACAUACUAUUUUAAAAAAAUAUAGCACGAACAAUUUGGGUUCAUUAAGAUGAUAUUACAGAAGCUCCAAUAUGCCCCCCUCACCUCAGUUUUUUUUUUCUUCAUUCAAUUCAAGUUUUUUUUUUUGAAAUUCUUUAAAACUUGAUUUGAGCUUGAUUUGAUUCACUCAAUCAACUUAGUUAACAUCAUAAUACAUAUAUAAAGGUUACCUAGCCCCAAACUUUGCUUAAUUUUUGAUUUCUAAGCAUUAAUUUUCAUUGAGACAAAUUUUCAAAUACUUUACACGCAUAAAUAAAUUUCCAGAUUUUCACAAACUUUUAAACAUGGUUUAGCCAAGAAUUUUCGAAAUUCUUCAUCCUUAUCACUCCAAGCAUCACUUACCAUCCAUAUCACAUCAUAUCUCAUAGUCCAAGCACAACAAUUUUAUAAAUAUAAGACAUUAAUACUCUAAUUUUUAUGAACUUUAACAAAUAAAGGUUAAUACCUCUUGUUUGAUGUUCUUAUUUGAAUUCUUGUUUCAAUCCUUGCUCCAAACUUCUUGUUGAUUGAAUCCAAUCUCCCUUAACAGUAAUUUGAUGCAAUACUCCCUUCACUUCAAUUGCUAAUUUCAAUUCCUAAAGAGUUUAGGUAGUUUCUUUGUUUAUGGGGAGAGAGCAUAUCAAAUUGGGAGAGGAAGAAGAAUGGAACGGAUGGGAGAGAAAAGUGAGGGCUGAGAAUUGGGUUUAUUUGUAGCUGAUAAUAGUCUAGUCUAGCAUUCCCAACCUCUUUGUUAAUUAUCAGACUUGGUUUCUAAGUGUCAUCCUAAUAUCCAAAGGUUAUGCCACCUCCUACUGUAGCCCCUAAUGACUCACCCAUAAGGCUUAUUCUCGUUACUUUAAUUCUCAGCAAAGUGAACUUAGCCUUUUAAUACAUAUUCAACAUCAUGACUUGG
rnacentral:lncRNA from 1 species